GUUUGUCGGGGUUGGGUUUCCUUUUCAGUGAUCGCUGUUUUGGGAGGACCCCAGUGCGAGGCGCUACCUGGCUGUUCUGCACUGGGUCCGAAGCGUGGGUGCAACGGGUUAGGUACCCUGUUGUCCCGCCGUAACGUUGUCAACUAGUCGUUGGAGUCUUGACUCUUAGUGGCGCACUAACGCAUUAGGUUGACCGCCUGGGGAGUACGGCCGCAAGGUUCAAACUCAAAUGAAUUGACGGGGGCCCGUACAAGCGGUGGUGCAUGUGGUUUAAUUCGAAGCAACGCGAAGAACCUUACCAGGCCUUGACAUCCAAUGUACUUUCUAGAGAUAGAUUGGUGCCUUCGGGAACAUUGAGACAGGUGCUGCAUGGCUGUCGUCAGCUCGUGUCGUGAGAUGUUGGGUUAAGUCCCGUAACGAGCGCAACCCUUGUCCUUAGUUACCAGCACGUAAUGGUGGGCACUCUAAGGAGACUGCCGGUGACAAACCGGAGGAAGGUGGGGAUGACGUCAAGUCAUCAUGGUCCUUACGGCCUGGGCUACACACGUGCUACAAUGGUCGGUACAAAGGGUUGCCAAGCCGCGAGGUGGAGCUAAUCCCAUAAAACCGAUCGUAGUCCGGAUCGCAGUCUGCAACUCGACUGCGUGAAGUCGGAAUCGCUAGUAAUCGUGAAUCAGAAUGUCACGGUGAAUACGUUCCCGGGCCUUGUACACACCGCCUGUCACACCAUGGGAGUGGGUUGCACCAGAAGUAGCUAGUCUAACCUUCGGGAGGACGGUUACCACGGUGUGAUUCAUGACUGGGGUGAAGUCGUAACAAGGUAA
rnacentral:rRNA from 1 species